rnacentral:lncRNA from 1 species
UAACGAGCCGAGUUCCUUCCCCAUUUGAAUCUUCACAAAACUUCUCUAAAUCUGAAGAGCAACGAAGUUGAAACAAAAAUCGAAGUCAAAAUUAGAAGAACAUUGAAGCCCACUAUUUCUUCAGAUUUAGAGAGUCCUCAGUUCGUAACUCUUGAUCCCCUAAGUUGGAUGGCCUUAGUUCGUGACCCUUGAAAAUUGGAACCUUCACAAAUC